CCUACGGGAGGCAGCAGUGAGGAAUAUUGGUCAAUGGGCGCAAGCCUGAACCAGCCAUGCCGCGUGCAGGAUGACGGCUCUAUGAGUUGUAAACUUCUCUUAUACAAGGGUAAACUCAGGUACGUGUAUCUGUAUGAAAGUAUCGUACGAAUCAGGAUCGGCUAACUCCGUGCCAGCAGCCGCGGUAAUACGGAGGAUUCGAGCGUUAUCCGGAUUUAUUGGGUUUAAAGGGUGCGUAGGAGGGGGGAUAAGUUAGUGGUGAAAACCUGAGGCUCAACUUUGGAAAUGCCUUUGAUACUGUUCGGCUAGAGAGUAGUUGAGGUAGGCGGAAUGCAUGGUGUAGCGGUGAAAUGCUUAGAGAUCAUGAAGAACACCGAUUGCGAAGGCAGCUUACUAAGCUACCACUGACGUUGAGGCACGAAAGCGUGGGGAGCAAACAGGAUUAGAUACCCGAGUAGUC
rnacentral:rRNA from 1 species